AGUCGAGCGGAAGGCCCUUCGGGGUACUCGAGCGGCGAACGGGUGAGUAACACGUGAGUAACCUGCCCCAGGCUUUGGGAUAACCCCGGGAAACCGGGGCUAAUACCGGAUAUGACUGGCUGCCGCAUGGUGGUUGGUGGAAAGAUUUUUCGGCUUGGGAUGGACUCGCGGCCUAUCAGCUUGUUGGUGGGGUAAUGGCCUACCAAGGCGGCGACGGGUAGCCGGCCUGAGAGGGCGACCGGCCACACUGGGACUGAGACACGGCCCAGACUCCUACGGGAGGCAGCAGUGGGGAAUCUUGCACAAUGGGCGGAAGCCUGAUGCAGCGACGCCGCGUGAGGGAUGACGGCCUUCGGGUUGUAAACCUCUUUCAGCAGGGACGAAGCGUUUGUGACGGUACCUGCAGAAGAAGCGCCGGCCAACUACGUGCCAGCAGCCGCGGUAAGACGUAGGGCGCGAGCGUUGUCCGGAUUUAUUGGGCGUAAAGAGCUCGUAAGACGGCUUGUCGCGUCGACUGUGAAAACCCGUGGCUCAACUGCGGGCUUGCAGUCGAUACGGGCAGGCUAGAGUUCGGUAGGGAGACUGGAAUUCCUGGUGU
rnacentral:rRNA from 1 species